rnacentral:rRNA from 1 species
UACGGGGGGUGCGAGCGUUGUCCGGAAUCACUGGGCGUAAAGGGCGCGUAGGUGGUUUGAUAAGGGUGUGGUGAAAGUCCGGAGCUCAACUCCGGAUCUGCCGUGCCGACUGUCAAACUCGAGGGCUGUAGAGGCAGACGGAAUUCCGGGUGUAGCGGUGGAAUGCGUAGAUAUCUGGAGGAACACCGGUGGCGAAGGCGGCAUCCUGGACCGACACUGACGCUGAGGAGCGAAAGCCAGGGGAGCAAACGGG